rnacentral:lncRNA from 1 species
CCAGGCUUGUUUAGUCAGAAGUGUAAAACUCCAUUCUUUUGGAGGAAUCUUCUUCAGAAAGUCUCCCAUCUCCUUCACACGCUCUUCGGGAAUAUCUCCGAAGUUAGCAGAGAUCCAAUCUGAGAUGGUCCAAUCUGGGAGAGUAGAGAUUUCUGGUCCUGUGACGAAGAACCAUUUCUCGUGCCAUCCCUUAUUGCUCGAAGGGGUACUCAUCAGGGACCUCUUCUCAAAUUUGGAGUUCGGGCGAGGAGAUUGUUUGCUCAACAUCUUAAAGCCUCGUUCUCGGGAUCUACCGGCUGAGAAGAGGGUGAAGAAGAUGUCGACAGAGGGAGGGAUCCCUAACUCAUGGCAGAAGGCAAUGAAUGCCAAGAUGUGGAUGUAGGAAUUGGGCACCAGCUGGGCGAAACCCACUCCUAUGAACC